UACAGAGGGGGCAAGCGUUAUUCGGAAUUAUUGGGCGUAAAGGGCGCGUAGGCGGUUUUUUAAGUCGGAUGUGCAAUCCCCAGGCUCAACCUGGGAACUGCAUCCGAGACUGGAAGGCUAGAGUACUGGAGAGGGUGGUGGAAUUCCUCGUGUAGCGGUGAAAUGCGUAGAUAUCUGGAGGAACAUCAGUGGCGAAGGCGGCUUCCUGGCCCAAAACUGACGCUGAGGUGCGAAAGCGUGGGGAGCAAACAGG
rnacentral:rRNA from 1 species